CCAAGUUGAGAAUUACACUGUCCACCUUUUACAAAUCCCUUAUUGAUGCAAUCAGUAGAACAAUUGGGACUACAACUCCCUAUGCAGCAAAAUCUUGGGUCUACGUCACUCCCACGAAUACAUAUUGGCUUUUCAACUAAUCUUGGAGUCUUCAAACUUGUAACAAUUUAUGAAUCAAACAAAGACAAUAACAUUUUCCAUUAAAUCUAUUAAGUUAUUUAUCUAAACAAUAUAUUACAAAAGAUAGAAAAAAAUCUACUUACCAGAUAUCAUAAUAAAACUCAUGCAUAAAACAACCAGAAUAUAAGAAGAUUGAUAGCUUUUAGAAGUCAUAUUUUGAAUUUCAGCUUAUGUGUUUACUUUUUAUUUACAAGACACUAACAUUACUUUCAUUAUAUAGGCUAAAAACUUAUCUUAACUGUAAUAAAUAUUAAUAUUUUAUUUUAUUUUAUAAUGAUUAUUAAAAUUGAAUAUAUAGUCAAAUGCAAAAAAUAUAUAUGUUUUAUUAUUUAUAUAUCCUUUACAAAAUUGAAUAAAAAAAUAUAAAGUAUUGACUUCUAAUGAGAUAAUUGGUAAUAAAUAUUAAUAUUGUUAUUUUAUUUAUAGACUAGUUUUUAAAAAUUGUUUUUGAAAUGUGAAAAUUGAAAAAAUUUAUUUGGUAGUUUAAUUUUCAAUACUAUUUUUAAUAAGAGAUUAAAAAUAUAUUUAAAUAGAUAAUUAUUUUUAAUUAAUAAUAAAAUAUAUUUCGUUAUCUAUAAAUAUAAAUAUAAUUUAGUCACUAAUUAUUUAAUAUAAGAUCUAAGAAUGCAUGUCAACUAUUUUUUUAAUGUUAAUUAUAUAAUUAAUAAAAUAUUAUUUUAAUAAUAAGAGAUUGACACAUAAUUUCAAACAAAUGAUUUAAAUCAUUUUUAUGACAUUCAUCAUUACUAUUUUUGUUUAUAAUUAAUCACUUUCUCUUCCUCAAUUUUAUAAGAAAUAUAAAUUAUACUAUAAUAUGAUUGAAAAUUUUAAUUCUUAUUGACUUUUCUUAUUAAAUUAGUUUUAUUAUUUAAGUAUUAUUAAAAUUACAACUUUGCUAAGAAAUAUUGUAAGAGUAUUUUUAGUUAGAAGCAUUUUACUUUUUAAAUAUUCAUGUUUAUUAUCUACUACAAUUGGAAAAUAAGUUAUAGAUUUUAAAAAUCGGAUUGAAUCAAUGGAUUAAAUUGAUUGAAUUGAGAAUCGGAUGAGUCGCCGAUAUAGUUUGAUUGUUGAAUUUAUUAAAGUAUUGUAUUUGUGGGAAUCGAUCAGAAUCGACCAAAACUGAUAAAAAUUGAGAAUCAACUGUUUAAAUUUUUGCUUUUUUUUCCUCCGACAAAAUGUCGUCAUUUUGAUAAUUCUUUUUUUAAAUAAAAUUAAAAUAUAAAGAGAUUUUGUUCAAAAUUUAUUUAGAACAACUUUUCCACCUUAAAAUUAAAUUUAUUAGGCGAUACAUUUAUUUUUUUAUUCAAUUUCUAUUUCCAUUAGACUUUGUUCAAAAUUUAUAUAGAUUUGUAUUUUGUACUAUUUUGUUAUGUGUAUAUUUAAAAUUUUAAUUUAAAGAAUGAAUUCUUAAAAUUAUGAUAUUUUGAAAUUUUAAAAUUUUAAAUUUUUUUAGCAAUCGUGAUUUUGUUUAGAGAUCGGGUCACCCGAUUCGACGAUUUAAUAACUAUAUAAUUUUGUUAUAGAUACCGAUUUAUUCAACCAAAUUAUCUGAUUUAAUCUGAUUAUGUUAUGCAAUUCGACUAAUGAUCAAAUGGUUCGAACAAUGAACCAGUACACUCUCACCAAUUUGAUGACCAAUCAAUUUUCUUAAACAAUUAUUAUUAAUAAAAAAUAUUUAUUAUUUUUGAAAUGAAAAAAAUAUAUAAUUUUAUAAAAGGUCAAGUUGUUAUGAAAAAUUGAGAGGAAAUCUAAAUUUGUCAUUUUUUUAAAAAAAAUUAAAAAAAAUUAUUAAUAUUUAUAAAUUAUAAAUAUUUUUUUAGAAAAAAAUGCUAAUAAAAAUAUGUUCAAAAUUAAAUAAACAUAGUUAUUUUAUUUGUAUUUGGUAUAACAGCUUAUUAUUAUAUGGAUGAUAAUAUAUUACUUUGUUUUAUAUAUGUAUGAAAAGUAUUAAGAAAAAAUUAAUUAUAGGGAUUAAUAAAAUUAUGGUUAUAAUUACGAAAACUGCCAUUAAUGAAAAUUAUAGAAAAAAAAUCUAUUUCCCGUGUGUAUUCAAUUCAAUGGUAGGAUUUGGAAAGUGAAAAGCAAAAUAAAAACUAAAACAUAUCAAAAGCUAUUUUUGUUUUUUAGAUUUAAAAACUGAAAAACUAAAAAGAGUUUUAGAAAACAAUUUUUAAAAAUUAGCUUUCCAAAUAGAUUUUUUAAUUUUUAAUUUUUAAAAACUAAACAACUGUUUUUGGAAAGGGAUUCAAAAAAGUCCUUAAUUCAUUAUUUUCGGUCAGGACAAUACAGUGGGUAUGCCUUUGUCCCUCCACAUAUUAGUUUGUACCUCUUUACUCUUUGGUUCAAAGCAUUUGCCUUCAUGGUACCCCAAGCCACCUUAUUCUUUUGGUAUAAGUUACACUGCUCAUCAUUGCAAUAACACCCUUGAAGUUGUGUUUGUCUUGUUAAUCCUAGUUGCGUAGGAAAACACUUAUUCGUUUCUUCUCUUUGUUUUCGUGGUUCCACGAACUAUGAUGCUCUGACUUUAUCAUUGCAGGAUGAGAAUAUGUAGGCAUAGGGCUUCGAACCCUUGGCGAGCAUAUUCCUAUUUAUUCCUCCAUCUCUGUCUUAGGACACCAUCCAUAUCUCUCAUGAUCCAUCAUCUAUCUUCAAUCAUAAACAUUCAUCCCAGUGACACACUGUUUCUUUGAAACCAAGCACGGUUUUCUUUGGAAUUCCAUAUAUACCCUUUUAGGACACUUGUCCACCUUUGUGCCAAGAGGUGUUUGCCUUGAUGCCAAACACUUAAUUCCUUCUUUUUGGUCAUGACAAUACAUUGGGUAUGCCUUUGUCCCUCCACAUCCUAGUCUAUAUCACCUUUCUCUUGGGUUUCAAAUACCAUUUACCCUAUGGAUUCCAAUAUACCCUUACCUUUAGUUCCAAAUUAUACCCCUUAGUGACUUUCACCAAACCCUUCAUUUCUUUGACUUUGGUUACUUUUCCUAUCACUCCAUCCAUCUCCAUGAGGCAUCCAUAAUUUUACAUUCAUUCACUUCAUGUGAUAUACUGUUAUCUUUGAGCCAAAUACACUAUCCAUUUGAGCUCCAUCUUGUGUCUACUUGUGAACCAAGAGAUGUUUGCCUUGAUACCAAACACAUAAUUCUUUUUUUGGGUUAUGAUAAUACAUUGGGUAUGCCUAUUUUACCCCAUAUCUUAGUCUAUACCACAUUUACUCUUGGGUUCAGAUUUCAUCCCUUUUUGGAGUCAAACACAUUAUCCUUUUGUUCAAACCAUAUUCGUUAUCAAAACUUAUUUUCACCUCCCACCAUUAGUUCUAUAAAUUACAGAGCUCUAAAUUCCUUAUUGCACUAUAAGGAUAUGUAGACAUGAGAGCCCUAAUCCUUUCCGAGCACUUUAUCUAUUCUUUUUUCCCUUUAUUCUCUCUUGAGUAAUCCUUAGAUAUAACACCAAUCUGAGCAAGAACAAUCAAAACGGUUCCUAUUGAGUACAACAGAUGUUAGGGGUGUAAAUAUCUUCCCCUUGCAUAACCGACAUCCUUACCCAAUUAUAUCUUUCCCUGGGUUUUAUCUAUGUUUUCCCUUUGCUUAGGGAAUAAAUAAAGUUCGAUGGCGACUCUGUUGUAUGUUCGAGUGUGCGGUGCGUUCAGGUAUAUUUUCGCUAGCUUCACCAUCCUCGAGUGUUUUAUACUUUGGUUGUUGAACCUCUCUCUCUCUCUAUUCUCUUCUCUCUCUCUCCUCUCUCUCUCCUCUUCUCUCUCUCUCUCUCUCUCUCUCUCUCUCUCUCUCUCUCUCUCUCUCUUGUCUCUCUCUCUCUCUCUCUCUCUCUCUCUCUCUCUCUCUCUCUCUCUCUCUCUCUCUCUCUCUCUCUCUCUCUCUCUCUCUCUCUCUCUCUCUCUCUCUCUUAUACUUAUAUUAUAUAUAUAUAUAUAUAUAUAUUAUAUAUUAUAUAUAUAUAUAUAUAAUAUAUAUAUUAUAUAUAAUAUAUUAUAUUUAUAUAUAUAUAUAUAUAUAUACUGUGAGCAUAUAUAAUUAUUUUAAAAAUCCAUUUUUUGAUCCUUGAACUUUUACAUCACUUGAGAUUUUGAUGCCCCCUCCAAUUUAGCAUACGUGGAAAUGAUGAUUGAGACAAAAAAAAAUAUUCUUGAUGAGUUGGCAAUGAUGACAUGAUUAUUUAUUAUUUAAUUCUUUUUAAUUAAUUAAUUAAUAAUUUAAUUUAAUUUUUUUAGAAGUUUAAUUUUUUUUAAUUAAUAUUUGUCCCUUUUGUAAGAAAAGUAACAUUCCAUGAGUCAGGAAUUACAACUUUGCAAAGAGUCUGAGUUAGCCCCUUUCUGAUUACAUUUUCUAUGGUAUCAACAGCGAUAUAAAAGAAAAAGAGAAGUGAUGCAUACUUGAAUAGGAACCAAACUUUGUCUAUAUUUUGGAUUGCACUAUAAUUCAUUAUAUUUUGUAUGUCAGAGAUGUUCACGGCAAUUAAACUGGUUGAAACAAAAGAGUCAUUUAGAAGAUAAAGUUAAGGAAAAUGGUGAAAUGACACAAGCUUCUUAUUGCAUUGGAGCCCCACAUUGUUUUCUUAAGAAACAAUGUUAGUAGUUAUAAAGCUCAACAAUGCAUUGUAUGAUUUCUUCUUGGGUGGUUGAGUGAUGUUAUUAUGAUACAGGCUUUAGGGCCUAAAAAUUCUUUUCAAAAUUUAAUAAAUUAAUUUCUAAAAUAGUUAAUUAAAUUAAAAAAAUAAUAAUAAAUAUAAUUAAUUAAAUUAUUAAAUAAAAUGAAAUUAAAAAAUUAAAAUCUAAAAAAAUUAAAUAAAAUUAUUAAUUAGUUAAUUAAAAAUAUUAAAUAAUAAUUAAUCAUAAUCAUUAUUGCCAGUAUUCAAAAUUGGAGGGGAACCAUCAAAAUUCGAAGUGAUAUAUAAUUUUAGGGUAAAAAAUAGUUAUCUCAUUUUGUAAAAAAAAUAGAGUGAACACUUUAGUACAUUAAAAUAUAAUAAAGUAAAUAGUUAAAUUCUCUAUUUUUAUUUUAUAUUGGUUGUAUUAUGCAAAACAACAUCAUGGAGAAGUGUUCAAAGUGUUUAAGUUUAAUCUAGCUUGCUUAAGUUGUAUGGAGGUGCAUAAUAGAUGCAUGUUAGAUGCAAUGACACAACAUGUUGGUACGAUAUCUGGUCUUGCGCAACAAGUUAAUACUGCUGCAUUUUGGAAGACUUUCUAGGCAAAGAUUGGAUCAUAUUUUAUUGCUAAUUGGCCUAGCAAUUUGAUUAGGUGAUUUGUUUGACAGUUGGACGAAGAAUAAUUUAGAUUUAAAUUUGAAUUUAAAUUAUAACAAAUCAUAUCUUAUUGGAGAGAUUUAUGGAACAGAUAAUAUCCAAUAGAUUCGACAUUAAUUCUGGACGAAAUUAAAACUAAUAUUCAAGGAGAAAAGUUCAGAGUUAUUAUGCUAUAUAAGGAGCUCAAAACUACAUUAAAAAAUAAGCAUUCCCGUUGAAGAUUUUAGAGUGCUAGGAUUUACAAGAGUCCUUGUUAUGUACAUCAUACUAUAUUUCUGUAACUUGACAUAGUUGUAGAUUUGUCUAGUUGAGUAGAAAAUUCAACAUCUUUAUGUACACCUCUAUGUUUCAAUAACUUCACAGAGGAGGUUUGUCUAGUUGAGUUGUAAUAUUCAACAUUGAUAAUUGGGUGAAACACCAAUCACUAGGAUUUAGUGAUUGAGAAAAAGUGAGAGAUGUUCUCAUAUUUAGGGGGAGUCUUAAAUAGAAAGUCAUCGGGUAGUGUUAGGAAGAGGCAUUUAACAACAUAUGAUUUGUUGUUUCUUGUAAUACUAAUUGUACUAAGCUACUAAUAGUGAAUUACAUUUUUGGGGUUGGAAGUCAACCCUUUAGACGUAGGCUCCGUUUGCAUCAAAUUGGGUUACCAAUUCUUUUGUUCUUUGUUGUUUUCCUACUCCAUCAUCUUAUACAACUUAAUCUGUAUUAGUUGUUGUAGUCAUGAUUUAUCUUGUCGAACCAGUUUUCUUAGGCAUCGUGUUCGACAUUUGUCCCUUGAGGUACAUAACUUCAUUGCUUAUAUUAGCAAGCAAUCCGACAACAAACAGCACAACUACUAUUUUUUGGAUGACAAAAUCAAUCAUCUUAAUAACUAUAUUGAUUGUCCUAGAAAACACAACAUUGUUAUGCAUAAGUCUUUGCAUUAUCUAUAAAAAAAUCCAUUGUUUCUGAUGCUUGAAACCCAAAAGUGUCAAAGUUAAAUUAUAUGAAAGCAUCUUGAUUAACUUAAUUAAAAAUGUUGAAGUUAAUUUUUUUUACUUUGUUUAAUAUUGUUAUUAAAUUAAGAUUCUAUAAUUGGGAAUUAAUAUUAUUAUCAAAUAACUUUGAAAUCUCUGUAAAUAAUUUGUAUCAAAGUUUUGUGACGAUAUUAAAAGAUUAUUCAUCCUUAUCAUUUUUUCUCAAUCCAUAAAAACGGAAAAUAGUGUGGUUAGAGAAUCUAAUACUAUUCUUUUAAAGGAAAAAAUAAUAAAUUAUAGAUAUGAAAAUGAUACUAACGGCCAAAGGUCACAGAGAUAAGCAGAAAAUGGCACAAGGAGUGUCAAUCCAACCUAAAAACAACAAAAAUAACAUUUAUUAAAGUGACUGAUACAUGAUACAUGAUAAUUGUGAACGGGACAAUUUUAAAAUGGUUGAAACUAUUAAUUAUGGGUUUCUCCUUGCUAAUGUUACAUAAACUUUUAGCUAGGGGUUUCCCCUCAAAAAAUGUCAAUUUCAAAAUUUAAAAUAUCACUUCUUAAUAUUUGGAGGGAUUUCCCCACACAGUUUGUUUUAUUACUUUUUUUUAUGCAUUGCGGUGGGAUAAACCCCAAGCAAUAUAACAAUUUCUUGUAGUGGACAACUCGGGUGAUCCCUCUUAUUAGUUUGUCUCUCUUUAAAAUACUUUAUUAAUGCUUUCUCAUAACAAAUAUCUUUUUAUUAACAUUUUUUAUUGACUUUCUACUAGUUGAAAAGUUCAAGUGUAACAAUUAUAUUACAUUUUCAUUAAAAAAAUGUUUAAAAACAUAUCCGAUGAAUUUCAUUUUCUAAUUUUAAGUUUUAAUAUGUUAAAUGUUAUAUUUUAAACCAAACUUAUUAUUUUGCCGCAUAUUUAUAAUAUUUGAAUUAAAAAAUAUAAUAUGUCAAUUUUAAUAUCUUAAAAUUGAUUGAAAAAAACCACAUUAGAUUGAAUUUGUUAAAUUCAAUUUUUUAAAUAGUUAUUCAUAAUGGAACCAAACGAUUUAUAUUAUAAUGUUUUCUUCAAAACCAUUCAAAUCACCUUGCAAACACUCAUACAUUUUAAGAUUGUUUUAUUCAUAAUCAAGUCGAUGGUUCUCCAAUAAAACACAAAGUUCUUACACACUUUAAGUGCCAAAAUUAAGAAAAAGUGCAUCUUUUAUUUUCAACAAUCAUAGUAAUCAUAGUGAUACAUUGUAAUUCAUUAUACAAAACAACAACACUUAAGUUGAGAAUUACACUGUCCACCUUUUACAAAUCCCUUAUUGUUGCAAUCAGUAGAACAAUCGGUACUACAAUUCUCUAUGCAGUAAAAUCUUGGGUCUACGCCACUCCCACGAAUAUAUAUUGGCUUUUCAAUUAAUAUUGGAGUCUUCAAACUUGUAACAAUUUCUGAAUCAAACAAAGACAAUAACAUUUUCAAUUAAAUUAAGUUAUUUAUCUAAAUAAUAUAUUACAAAAGAUAGAAAAAAAUCUACUUACCAGAUAUCAUAAUAAAACUCAUGCAUAAAACAACCAGAAUAUAAGAAGAUUGAUAGCUUUUAGAAGUCAUAUUUUGAAUUUCACCUUAUGUGUUUAC
rnacentral:lncRNA from 1 species